UCCCCGAUAGCUCAGUUGGUAGAGCGUUCGACUGUUAAUCGAAUGGUCGCAGGUUCGAGUCCUGCUCGGGGAG
rnacentral:tRNA from 2 species